rnacentral:snRNA from 1 species
GGGUGUGAGGGCAAACUGAUUGUGACAUCUGUCAACCAAUUGAUGGCCCUCGUUAAUUUAGUGGGUCUGGCUGACUAAGUGGAUAUUCCCAUCCUCACCAGUUCAUGUAUGUCCUUCCCAAAGUUGUGUCCAUGUUGGAGUGGUAUGACUUUCCCUGAUAGAAGAGGGCUGCCCUCUUCUCAAACCUCCAAGCAUGCUCUGCAGGUCCAUUUGUAAAAUAAAUAAAUAAAUAAAAUGGUGGAUAUUGAAACUUUUAGAUGCAUCCAACUAU